rnacentral:rRNA from 1 species
GUCUACGGCCAUACCACCCUGAACGUGCCCGAUCUCGUCUGAUCUCGGAAGCUAAGCAGGGUCAGGCCCGGUUAGUACUUGGAUGGGAGAAAAUACGCGUUGACAAGGAUG